rnacentral:rRNA from 1 species
GAGGAUACCGAGAGUGUAGCAUCCUACCCUUCUGUGACCUACCUAUCGUUGCUUCGGCGGACUCGCCCCAGCCCGGACGCGGACUGGACCAGCGGCCCGCCGGGGACCUCAAACUCUUGUAUUCCAGCAUCUUCUGAAUACGCCGCAAGGCAAAACAAAUGAAUCAAAACUUUCAACAACGGAUCUCUUGGCUCUGGCAUCGAUGAAGAACGCAGCGAAACGCGAUAAGUAAUGUGAAUUGCAGAAUCCAGUGAAUCAUCGAAUCUUUGAACGCACAUUGCGCCCGCCAGCAUUCUGGCGGGCAUGCCUGUUCGAGCGUCAUUUCAACCCUCGACCUCCCCUUGGGGGGGUCGGCGUUGGGGACCGGCAGCACACCGCCGGCCCUGAAAUGGAGUGGCGGCCCGUCCGCGGCGACCUCUGCGCAGUAAUACAGCUCGCACCGGAACCCCGACGCGGCCACGCCGUAAAACACCCAACUUCUGAACGUUGACCUCGAAUCAGGUAGGACUACCCGCUGAACUUAAGCAUAUCAAUAAGCGGAGGA